UACGUAGGGUGCGAGCGUUAAUCGGAAUUACUGGGCGUAAAGCGUGCGCAGGCGGUUUUGUAAGCCAGAUGUGAAAUCCCCGGGCUUAACCUGGGAAUGGCAUUUGGGACUGCAAGGCUGGAGUGUGGCAGAGGAGACUGGAAUUCCUGGUGUAGCAGUGAAAUGCGUAGAUAUCAGGAGGAAUACCGAUGGCGAAGGCAGGUCUCUGGGCUGACACUGACGCUAAUGCACGAAAGCGUGGGGAGCAAACAGG
rnacentral:rRNA from 1 species